UCCGUAGGCGGGCGUCUAAGUCAGUGGUGAAAUCUUACAGCUCAACUGUAAAAUUGCCAUUGAUACUGGAUGUCUUGAAUUAGUGUGAAGUGGUUAGAAUGUGUAGUGUAGCGGUGAAAUGCAUAGAUAUUACACAGAAUACCAAUUGCGAAGGCAGAUCACUAACACUAUAGUGACGCUGAGGGACGAAAGCGUGGGGAGCGAACAGGAUUAGAUACCCUGGUAGUCC
rnacentral:rRNA from 1 species